rnacentral:rRNA from 1 species
UACGUAGGGGGGCAAGCGUUGUCCGGAAUCAUUGGGCGUAAAGCGCGUGUAGGCGGCUUGGUAAGUCCGCUCUGAAAGCCCGGGGCUCAACCCCGGGAGGCGGGUGGAUACUGUCAAGCUCGAGUCCGGAAGAGGCGAGUGGAAUUCCUGGUGUAGCGGUGAAAUGCGCAGAUAUCAGGAGGAACACCAAUGGCGAAGGCAGCUCGCUGGGACGUGACUGACGCUGGAGACGCGAAAGCGUGGGGAGCAAACAGG